AUCCCAUAAUGAGGACACUUACGAAGUAACUCCUUGAUCGCUCCCAAGUCUCAUACAAAGACUCAUCAUCUAGUUGCUGGAAAGUUGUGAUCCCGUUCCUCAACAU
rfam:Gossypium raimondii scaffold_14_contig_32, whole genome shotgun sequence.